UGCCCCUCACUUGCCAAUACGUCUAGAUCAGCCAGGGCGUCGGCAUGUGUAGCGUAUUAUGUUGGGCUCUCUCGAGAUAAGGAUACGAUGUCCCUUUAUCGGUUGGUUUCCUGUGUGCGCGGCCCGUUCGUUUUUUUGUUACUUCGCAUCGUUCGGUGCAUUCUGGGGGCUGUGUUGGCUUUUGGUGGCUUGCUUGGCCUUUUGGCUUUGCUUGUUGCUACUUGUCGGGCUGCUUUCGGGAAUGUCGACCGUGGAGGUGCAUGAGUGGUGUUUGGUUUGUUACGUGUGGAUGGCUGUUUGCUUGUGCAACAACGUUCAUGCUGCAUACCUCUUCAGUUUUGCGGCAAGGCUUGGUUUGGCUUGCGCAUAUUGUGGGUUUCCUGUGUUGCAUACCUAGUUGAUGGAAAAGUGUGGGUUUUACGAUUUUCAUUUUCGUCUUGCGUCGUUCUUUCGGCGUGGGAUGAACAAUGAAGCGAUCUUUAUGAUCCAUCGUGCUGUUGCGUUUGCAACAAUGAUGUGGCCUAUGAAGCAUCGUUUGGUCUCUUGUAUACGGAAGCUCAUUUGGGCUUGGGUCUUUAUAAGAUCUUCGUUACGCCCUUGUUAAGCGUUCUCGCUUCUCCUAAACGAUUG
rnacentral:misc_RNA from 1 species